CAACUUUCAACAACGGAUCUCUUGGUUCUGGCAUCGAUGAAGAACGCAGCGAAAUGCGAUAAGUAGUGUGAAUUGCAGAAUUCAGUGAAUCAUCGAAUCUUUGAACGCACAUUGCGCCCCUUGGUAUUCCAUGGGGCAUGCCUGUUCGA
rnacentral:rRNA from 1 species